rnacentral:lncRNA from 1 species
UACGUUGAUGGGUAGCGUGUGAGUGCACGGCAAGCGUAUGAAAACGAAAUCUCUGGCCAGUUUUCUGGAACAUUGCAACAAUGAUCAACUACCCUUUCUAUGCUUUCCCUUGCCCGAUUAUAUCCCCGAGCCAACAUUUAUGCUGUGCCAGGUACGACGACACGCCGCAUACUCAUGGCUCUGGUAGCGUAUAUCACAUGCCCGUGCUUGCCUUGCGCGGAGGGGAUUGGCAAUUGUGUGCUGCAGCAGCAAGCACGUGCACUUUACAAGAAGCUGCAUAUCUAAAGAGACGAUUAUGUCCAAAACAUGCACCCUGCAGAAAGCCGGACUUUGGCCGCACGUGGCGACGUGCACUAAAAAUGAAAACUACUGCACGCGCUGUCAUCUUUGCUACACAGGAACACAUGUCGCGGUUAU